UACAGAGGGUGCGAGCGUUAAUCGGAAUUACUGGGCGUAAAGCGCACGUAGGUGGCUUUGCAAGUCGAUUGUGAAAUCCCCGGGCUUAACCUGGGAAUGGCAUUUGGGACUGCAAGGCUGGAGUGCGGCAGAGGAGACUGGAAUUCCUGGUGUAGCAGUGAAAUGCGUAGAUAUCAGGAGGAACACCGAUGGCGAAGGCAGGUCUCUGGGCUGACACUGACGCUCAUGCACGAAAGCGUGGGGAGCAAACAGG
rnacentral:rRNA from 1 species